rnacentral:rRNA from 1 species
UACGGAGGGAGCUAGCGUUGUUCGGAAUUACUGGGCGUAAAGCGCACGUAGGCGGCUAUUCAAGUCGGGGGUGAAAGCCCGGGGCUCAACCCCGGAACAGCCCUCGAAACUAGAUAGCUAGAAUCUUGGAGAGGCGAGUGGAAUUCCGAGUGUAGAGGUGAAAUUCGUAGAUAUUCGGAAGAACACCAGUGGCGAAGGCGACUCGCUGGACAAGUAUUGACGCUGAGGUGCGAAAGCGUGGGGAGCAAACAGG